rnacentral:rRNA from 1 species
CAGUAGCCGCGGUAAUACGCAGGGCGCAAGCGUUAUCCGGAAUUAUUGGGCGUAAAGAGCUCGUAGGCGGUUUGUCGCGUCUGCCGUGAAGGUCCGGGGCUCAACCCCGGAUCUGCGGUGGGUACGGGCAGACUAGAGUGAUGUAGGGGAGACUGGAAUUCCUGGUGUAGCGGUGAAAUGCGCAGAUAUCAGGAGGAACACCGAUGGCGAAGGCAGGUCUCUGGGCAUUAACUGACGCUGAGGAGCGAAAGCAUGGGGAGCGAACAGGAUUAGAUACCCGGGUAGUCCCUGUCUCUUAUAC